UAAGGUGAUAUGAACCGUUAUAACCGGCGAUACCCGAAUGGGGAAACCCAGUGUGACUCGUCACACUAUCAUUAACUGAAUCCAUAGGUUAAUGAGGCGAACCGGGGGAACUGAAACAUCUAAGUACCCCGAGGAAAAGAAAUCAACCGAGAUUCCCCCAGUAGCGGCGAGCGAACGGGGAGGAGCCCAGAGCCUGAAUCAGCAUGUGUGUUAGUGGAAGCGUCUGGAAAGGCGCGCGAUACAGGGUGACAGCCCCGUACACAAAAGCGCAUGUGCUGUGAGCUCGAUGAGUAGGGCGGGACACGUGGUAUCCUGUCUGAAUAUGGGGGGACCAUCCUCCAAGGCUAAAUACUCCUGACUGACCGAUAGUGAACCAGUACCGUGAGGGAAAGGCGAAAAGAACCCCGGCGAGGGGAGUGAAAAAGAACCUGAAACCGUGUACGUACAAGCAGUGGGAGCCCCACCACUAAGCCAGUGGUGAACUCCACAUACGCAUCCUUUGCUGAGGAUACGGUUAACG
rnacentral:rRNA from 1 species